GGCAUCUUGGCCGAGUGGUUAUGGGUACGUUCAAUCACUCCCCACGUCCAAACCAUCAAAAUACUGACCCUCGUUACAGCGCUAGUUUCAGGUCAACUUGAAUCCUAUUAUACUAGUUCGAAAGAGCGUGGGUUCGAGUCCCACAGAUGUCA
rnacentral:tRNA from 1 species